rnacentral:rRNA from 1 species
AUUACUGCUCUAGCCAACAAUACCCUUAACCCUUAUUUACAUUUAAAUAAACCAUUUAAUCAAGUAGUAUAGGCGAUAGAACCUUUAUUAUGAGCAAUAGAAAAAGUACUGCAAAGGAAAGAUGAAAUAAAAAUGAAACAAAUUACUUAAAUAAAUCAAAGAAAAGAGUAAAUCUUAUACCUUUUGCAUAAUGGUCUAGUCAGUCAAACUUAACAAAAAGAAAUAAAGCUAACCCCCCCGAAACUAGACGAGCUACUUAAGAGCAGCACAACGAGCCAACCCUUCUCUGUGGCAAAAGAGUGGGAAGACUUUCAAGUAGAGGCGAUAAACCAAACGAGCCUAGUGAUAGCUGGUUACUUGAGAAAUGGACUUAAGUUCAGCUUAAAAUACUUUUUAAUUAAUAAAAAAUAUAAAUAGUACUUUAAAGUUAAUCAAUAGAGGUUCAGCUCUAUUAAUAAAGGAAACAACCUAUAAUAUGAAUAAAAAUUAUAAUAACCAAGGAACUUAACCAUGUGGGCCUAAAAGCAGCCACCAUAAAGAAAGCGUCAAAGCUCCGUUUUAUAAGAACCAACUAUUUCAAUAAUUAAAUUUUAAUUCGUAUAUCCUAUCAAGACUAUCUAUUUUAUAGAUGAGUUUAUACUAGAAUGAGUAAUAAGAAUAUAAUUCUCUAUAUGCAUGUGUAAAUCAGAACGAAUAACUCACUGAUAAUUAACGUCUAGAUACUACCAACCAAGAAAAAUCUAUUUCAACCACCGUUAACCCAACACAGGGGCAUAAAAGAAAGAUUAAAAGAUUAAAAAGGAACUCGGCAAACAAGAACUUCGCCUGUUUACCAAAAACACCGCCUCUUGCCCACUUAAGUAUAAGAGGUCCCGCCUGCCCAGUGAUAAAUUUAACGGCCGCGGUAUUAUGACCGUGCGAAGGUAGCGUAAUCACUUGUCUUUUAAAUAAAGACCUGUAUGAAUGGCUAUACGAAAGCUCAACUGUCUCUCUAAUCCAAUCAAUAAAAUUAAUCUCCCCGUGCAGAAGCGGGGAUAAGCCUAUAAGACGAGAAGACCCUAUGGAGCUUUAAGCACACAACUAUAUAUAUUUAUUGUACCAACCCACGGAUAAAAAAUAAAUUCGUAUAUAAUAGUUUAAACUUUAGGUUGGGGCGACCACGGAGAAAAACUUAUCCUCCGAGAUAAAUAAUUUAGAACAACACUUCAAAAACUAAUAUAUUUAUUAUAAAUGAUCCACUAAGUGAUUAACGAACCAAGUUACCCUAGGGAUAACAGCGCAAUCCAUUCCAAGAGUCCUUAUCGACGAACGGGUUUACGACCUCGAUGUUGGAUCAGGACCCCCCAAUGGUGCAGCCGCUAUUAAAGGUUCGUUUGUUCAACGAUUAAAGUCCUACGUGAUCUGAGUUCAGACCGGAGUAAUCCAGGUCAGUUUCUAUCUAUACAUUAACUUUUUCUAGUACGAAAGGACCGAAAAAAUAGGGCCUCUUAUACUCAAAGCUCUUAACACCUGAAAACAAUUAAAAUAAAUUAAUAAAUAAACCCAAAGAAUAAGGGAGCU